ensembl:snRNA U12 U12 minor spliceosomal RNA
CUCACUGCUAAUGUGAGAUGAAUAUUUGAGCCGGUGAAAGUCGUCCCUAAGGUGAUCCGCCUACUUUGCAGGAUGCCUGGGAGCUGUGAUCUGCAAG